rnacentral:rRNA from 1 species
GUGAACGCUGGCGGUAGGCCUAACACCUGCCAGUCGCACGGCAGCACAGUAAGAGCUUGCUCUUACGGGUGGCGAGUGGCGGACGGGUGAGGAAUACAUCGGAAUCUACUUUUUCGUGGGGGAUAACGUAGGGAAACUUACGCUAAUACCGCAUACGACCUACGGGUGAAAGCAGGGGAUCUUCGGACCUUGCGCGAUUGAAUGAGCCGAUGUCGGAUUAGCUAGUUGGCGGGGUAAAGGCCCACCAAGGCGACGAUCCGUAGCUGGUCUGAGAGGAUGAUCAGCCACACUGGAACUGAGACACGGUCCAGACUCCUACGGGAGGCAGCAGUGGGGAAUAUUGGACAAAGGGCGCAAGCCUGAUCCAGCCAUACCGCGUGGGUGAAGAAGGCCUUCGGGUUGUAAAGCCCUUUUGUUGGGAAAGAAAAGCAGCAGGUUAAUACCCCGCUGUUCUGACGGUACCCAAAGAAUAAGCACCGGCUAACUUCGUG